CCUACGGGGGGCAGCAGUGGGGAAUAUUGGACAAUGGGGGGAACCCUGAUCCAGCCAUGCCGCGUGUGUGAAGAAGGCCCUCGGGUUGUAAAGCACUUUCAGUGAGGAAGAACGCCUGGUGGUUAAUACCCAUCAGGAAAGACAUCACUCACAGAAGAAGCACCGGCUAACUCCGUGCCAGCAGCCGCGGUAAUACGGAGGGUGCGAGCGUUAAUCGGAAUUACUGGGCGUAAAGCGCGCGUAGGUGGCUUGAUAAGCCGGUUGUGAAAGCCCCGGGCUCAACCGGGGAACGGCAUCCGGAACUGUCGAGCUAGAGUGCAGGAGAGGAAGGUAGAAUUCCCGGUGUAGCGGUGAAAUGCGUAGAGAUCGGGAGGAAUACCAGUGGCGAAGGCGGCCUUCUGGACGGAGACUGACACUGAGGUGCGAAAGCGUGGGUAGCAAACAGGAUUAGAUACCCCUGUAGUC
rnacentral:rRNA from 1 species